rnacentral:lncRNA from 1 species
UAGGAUGUGGUGUGUUGUUAUUGGUUGGUUGCUGCAAUGAUGAAUUUCAAAGUUUUAUGGUCUACUUAAGAGAUAACUUUCAAUAUGUUUACAUGUUGUGCUAUAAAGUUUAUAAUAACUACGUAUUAUUAAAAGUGAUAGCUAUGUUAACUUUGUUGUUUAAUAUAUUAUUUGGAUAAAAGGUUUAACAUUCGGUGAAUUAUAUUAGCUUAUCUUUGUGAUAUAUAGAACUGUUAACAUUCCGAACACAGGAAUUCAAAUUUGAUAAAA